GACGUAGGGCGCAAGCGUUGUCCGGAAUUAUUGGGCGUAAAGAGCUCGUAGGCGGCUUGUUGCGUCGACUGUGAAAACCCGUGGCUCAACCAUGUGGUCUGCAGUCGAUACGGGCAGGCUAGAAUUCGGUAGGGGAGACUGGAAUUCCUGGUGUAGCGGUGAAAUGCGCAGAUAUCAGGAGGAACACCGGUGGCGAAGGCGGUUCUCUGGGCAUGUUCUGACGCUGAGGAGCGAAAGCCAGGGGAGCGAACGGG
rnacentral:rRNA from 1 species